GAUAGCUCAGUUGGUUAGAGUGUGGUGCUGAUAAUGACAAGGUUGCAGGUUCGAUCGCCACAAGGGACA